rnacentral:rRNA from 1 species
UGAGCAAUCUGCCCUUCUCAUCGGAAUAAGCGUUGGAAACGACGUCUAAUGCCGAAUACGACCUCCUUUCGCAUGAUCGGAGGUGGAAAGCUCCGGCGGAGAAGGAUGAGCUCGCGGCCUAUCAGCUAGUUGGUGUGGGUAAUGGCCCACCAAGGCGACGACGGGUAGCCGGCCUGAGAGGGUGACCGGCCACACUGGGGCUGAGACACGGCCCAGACUCCUACGGGAGCAG